CGCUUGAGCACAGUCCAAGAUGAAAGUUUCUGGGUUGUUUCCCUUUGCUUCCUCUCACCCUCGCUCCCCCUCGGAGCCGCAGAGCCAGCAAUUGUGCAAGAGGAGCCGAGCGCGCAGGGCGCGUAUCACGGAGCGCAUGGUACAAGCCGCCGGCUCGGUGAUUAAUUAUCAGUAGCCGCUGGCCUCGCACUAACACCUAGCUUUCCCGGCAGGGCCAGCACACCCAGCCGCCGCCAGCUCGGCCGGACGGAGGAGAGGCUCUGGGGAGGACGCCGAGGCUGCUCCGGAGUGAGCCCUUAGGGAAACCAUGAAGUAACCCUGCACAUUCCAGUAACACAAUUAUGACAAAAUAGAGCCCGACUAUGAAGUGAUCAAUUUUUUUGUAAAUGUUAAGCAAGAAAAACAGCAGAAACAAAAGUGCACAUAACAAUUCAAGAUUUCUUUAAAAAAAAAAAAAAGAAAGUAACUUACCUGUUGGGACAUUCUGAAUAAAAGAUUGUGACUCCCCGAGCUUGCCUUUGCUCAGUUUAACAGCUGCCUGUCAGGUGUGCAGGCAGCACUGGAGACCCAACCAUCAGCUUCAAACUCUCAGCCACUGCAUGUCAUUGGAUAGCAGAGCUAAGAGUCAACUGCACCGUUCCACUGUCAGGCACCAAAUGACACCCUGCACUAACCCCUCUCCAGACACUGAGAGAUACACACUUCUGCACGCUCCAAGCAGCACCACGAUCACAGACCGACGGUGCACGGGGUGAGGAGAAGCUGGGGCCCUUCCCAGGGAAUUUCCCCCAACAAUGCUUUCAGGUUAAAGAAUUGCAAAUACUAAAGGCUAUGUGUUGGCUUUCACACGUUGACUGAUAGUGAGAGAUGUACCAUGAAAAUUAAGAAGUACACCAACUAGGUCUAAAUGGCACCCACGAUAUUCAAGACAAUAUGGGAAUGGGAAUACCUCCACCUCAUCAAAACUCAUGCACAGAGUAAGAAACUCCCAUGCAGUUUACAAUGUAAAAACAGACUGGAGAAGUGAAGAAAAAGAUAACAUUUUGAAAGUGAUUUCUGAUGUUUAUGAUGUUCAACAUUUAAACUGUAUUUUCACAGAACUUCAAUAAAAUCCAACUUAUUGAUUGCUGUAAAUAAA